rnacentral:rRNA from 1 species
AGUGAACGCUGGCGGUAGGCCUAACACAUGCAAGUCGAACGGCAGCACAGUAAGAGCUUGCUCUUACGGGUGGCGAGUGGCGGACGGGUGAGGAAUACAUCGGAAUCUACUUUUUCGUGGGGGAUAACGUAGGGAAACUUACGCUAAUACCGCAUACGACCUACGGGUGAAAGCAGGGGAUCUUCGGACCUUGCGCGAUUGAAUGAGCCGAUGUCGGAUUAGCCAGUUGGCGGGGUAAAGGCCCACCAAGGCGACGAUCCGUAGCUGGUCUGAGAGGAUGAUCAGCCACACUGGAACUGAGACACGGUCCAGACUCCUACGGGAGGCAGCAGUGGGGAAUAUUGGACAAUGGGCGCAAGCCUGAUCCAGCCAUACCGCGUGGGUGAAGAAGGCCUUCGGGUUGUAAAGCCCUUUUGUUGGGAAAGAAAAGCAGCAGGUUAAUACCCCGCUGUUCUGACGGUACCCAAAGAAUAGGCACCGGCUAACUUCGUG